UCUGCAACUCGACUGCGUGAAGGUGGAGUCGCUAGUAAUCGCGGAUCAGCAACGCCGCGGUGAAUGCGUUCCCGGGCCUUGUACACACCGCCCGUCAAGUCAUGAAAGUGGGCAGCACCCGAAGACGGUGGCCUAACCCUUGUGGGGGGAGCCGUCUAAGGUGAGGCUCGUGAUUGGGACUAAGUCGUAACAAGGUAAC
rnacentral:rRNA from 1 species